UGGGGAAUUUUGGACAAUGGGCGCAAGCCUGAUCCAGCAAUGCCGCGUGCAGGAUGAAGGCCUUCGGGUUGUAAACUGCUUUUGUACGGAACGAAACGGCUCCUAAUAAUACUGGGGGCUAAUGACGGUACCGUAAGAAUAAGCACCGGCUAACUACGUGCCAGCAGCCGCGGUAAUACGUAGGGUGCGAGCGUUAAUCGGAAUUACUGGGCGUAAAGGGCGCGUAGGCGGUUUUUUAAGUCAGAUGUGCAAUCCCCGAGCUCAACUUGGGAACUGCAUCUGAGACUGGAAGGCUAGAGUACUGGAGAGGGUGGUGGAAUUCCUCGUGUAGCGGUGAAAUGCGUAGAUAUGCGGAGGAACACCGAUGGCGAAGGCAAUCCCCUGGGCCUGUACUGACGCUCAUGCACGAAAGCGUGGGGAGCAAACAGG
rnacentral:rRNA from 1 species